rnacentral:rRNA from 1 species
AGCAGCCGCGGUAAUUCCAGCUCCAAUAGCGUAUAUUAAAGUUGUUGCAGUUAAAAAGCUCGUAGUUGAAUUUCGGGGUUAGUAGGUUGGUCAUGCCUCUGGUAUGUACUGAUCUCACUGAUUCCUCCCUCUUGACGAACUGUAAUGUCAUUAAUUUGGUGUUGCAGGAAAUCAGGACUGUUACUUUGAAAAAUUAGAGUGUUUAAAGCAGGCUUAGGCUUGAAUACAUUAGCAUGGAAUAAUAGAAAUAGGACGUUUGAUCCUAUUUUGUUGGUUUCUAGGAUCGACGUAAUGAUUAAUA